GACCGCGUAGCUCAGUUGGAAGAGCAUUGGGCUAGUAUUCCAAAGGUUGUAGGUUCGAAUCCCGCCGUGGCCA
rnacentral:tRNA from 1 species